CUCGAACAUCGAUUGCAGGAAGCGCGCGUAAUUUGUUCGCGCGAAAUCUCAUCAUGUUCGUACCUCUCACUCCUGUCCUAAAGGUUAUUAUUGCUAUGAGCCUGAAGUUAGAAAGAAGUUUCCACGCACAUUUCACUCAUUACAAAAGAGGAUAAGCCAUAAUUCCCCAGAUCCACCCAACAGACAAGUCAAACAGAUUCUGUGGAAGAGAGCCAGCCUUCUCCCAUCAAAACCAUCACAAUUGCAGCAAGUGAUCAUUGUUACCAGAUCAUUCAGUCCCCAAAAAACCAGAAGAAUAAACUGAGAUGGAAGGAUGUCAAGUUGCUGAGUUGCAGAAAAGGUUGAGGUUGUCUUAACAAAGCAGUUGUCCUUUGAAGGUUCGAGUCCAGUCCCUACAAAGUGUCAUCAAGUGUUUGAGAUAAAAACAUUUGAUAUCAGUUGGGUGUGAUGAAAUGCCGAAGCAGUCAUUUUCUGGUGUCCCUGUUGAAUUGAUAAGUCAUUGCAAUUGUACAAUUCAUUUGCACUUUCAUCUGCAUCUGCAGAACGUGCUUGUUAACCUAAUUUUGGUAGGGGACGUGUCAUUUUUGGUUAAAAAAUUUGGACCCAUAAUUCCGCAUGUGUCUGAAAAAUGUGAGCCAUGAUUCCGCAAACAUGAAAACUAUACCCAUUAUAAGGCCUGGCCGUUUGAGGCGAGCGAUAGCUCGCUCUCGCCUCCACGCUCUCCUCGCAACCUGAGGAGAGCUAUGAAUUGCCCUCCUAAACAGAACAUGAAGGAAGAAUCGCUCCCCUAAAAUUUCCUAUUCUCCCGUCAUUACAUUUUUUGAAGUUAACUUUUUGUUUGUUGGGCGGUUUUUGUUAUGAUAGGCAUAAACUUCGAUCUAUUUGGAAAAGGAUAGUUAACCGAAAGGUACGUUUGUAGCGAUUAGAACCUUUCAAUUUUAAGAAAACAAGAAUAUUUUUGGAAGGAAAGUCGAAGAAAUUGGCAGGAAUUGUAGAUUGGGGAUAUAAUAAGACAGCAGGCCCCCUUCCAGCAAUAGAAACAAAACUAUUCCUCAAAGAGAACAAGGUACUCUGUCUUGCAGAUCAAAAACGACAACCAAAACAUGGAAUUCCACUAUCCAGCAGCAUUUACUGAAAAACCCAGAUUGGGUGAAAAACUAUAAUGGUGACAUGUUUGGCAUUAAUGGCAAAGCCUGAUCAUCGUUCCUUCUAGCAGUUUGUGAAUCGAUCUACUAUAUAAACAUGACCGACCGCUUCUGUGUAGACAUAAGUGAGUUCGUUUCCACCUUAGGACUCCGUUGGUAACAACUUCAAUAGGAAAGCGGCAGUGAUUGGACAACCUCAACAGUCAUGUGCUCGCGUUUUCUGAUUGGCCUAUUUCGAUCCAAAACUGGGUAUAUGUAUUUCUUAGAGUAGUGUUUUCGAUCUAUGUUCUGACAUUUUAUUCUCUGAAGAGUGCUAGACGUAUAACUUCAGCUUGUUUUAAAAAAAAAAUUUUCAAAGCCAUUUUCAAAUUCUGUACAACAAAAAGAUUGUUUUGCAAGAGAAUGGUUGUUUUUGUGUUGUGCCAGCUUUACAUGAAACUGAAAGAGUCUGUUCUUUUAAAUACUUCAAGUAAAGGGGGUGCCUAAGUCACGGUUAAAGCAAAUACAAAUUGAAAGAAGUAAAACAGCACACUCCUGACUGAGGCAAUUACAUUAAGGCAACCGACAGAUACUAAAGGGGCUUAUUAAGUCAUCUGUCGAUUGUCUUUAAAGAACAUUCUAUGUGUUACUGAUUUAGCUCGCCUCAGCAAAUGAGGGGAGCGAUUCACAGCUCACCUAAAAAAAUACAAACGGCCAAGCCUGCAUUAUUCUGCAAAACAAUAACAUUUUUAAAGCACAAAAUCACCAAACAACUUUUGCAUGUCCUUUGUCAAAAAUCUCAAUAUUGCACAUAUUUCUCACUUUCAUAUCUAACUGGCCAUUCAUUUUGUUAAUGCUAAAUAUCCCUUCUGGUAAUUUUGCAACAUUUUUCGAAAAUAUUGCACAUAGUUCCGCACAUAUUUCAAAAACUGAUACCGAUAAUUCCGCACUUUUCAGAAAAGGGUACCCCUAAAAAUUGGUAAGUCGCCCUACCUUUAAACAUGUUAAGGUACCCCCUCCCCCCCCCACCCCCAGCAAAAGCCUAAACAACAGAAUGGGAAAUUUUAGAGUGUCCUUUUAGAUUAAACGUUUUAUCGGUACCAAAGUAAUAUGUUAUAAUUUUGUUGUUUACAUCAUUCUUUGUUACAAUUCUAAUAUUAGUCUUUGAAAAUGUGCUCUUUUUGAAAAGCUGCCCCCGCCGCCUCAAAAUGCUUCUGGGGCCCCUGGUGAUGCAUUUUGUAAAAAUUACUAAGAAAAUGAAUGCGCUCCAGUCUCUUCAAGUACGGCAAGGCCCCAAGGUAGACGCUACAGUGCGGUAUAAAUGCUGGGCCGGAGAAUGACAUGAACCCGUAACCGUAACCCUCACCAACCCCAACUAAUCUUUUUCAUUUCAUAGCAUCGAAUGUUUGCUCCAAAUGAUGGCUAGAUUGAACACGAAGACCAGGAUAAGCAUGAUUAUAUGGGAAGAGCAUUCUAACUAGAAUGGGACCUUAUAAACUAGUCUAUGUGAAGAAGAGCUUUCGGAGUUUGAACAACUAAAUUUUUAGUGGCAAGGUUUAGUAUCCCAAAACGUUUGGACUCUUAAAAGUGGUCAAACCACAAGGAAAUUAAAGUUAGUUCGAAUUAAAGAGAGAGUAGGUUCAACUCUCCUUUUGUCCCGCAAACAAUAGUAACUCAAUCAGGAACUUUCUCAAUUGUUGGCCUGGUAUGACUUCAUUUGCGCUAUUGUUGAUAACUUCUUGGUAUACGUAGGCAACGUAGGCUCGAACCCAUGGAUAGUUUAUUCUCAACAUAACACUCAUGACCAACAUAGCUCGUGAAAAAACUAACUUCUAUCAAACCAAUGCAAUACAUCAUAACUUCAAUAGCAAGCGAUUAAUGAUUGAAAACAUAACAUUGAAUUACAGUUUUCAUUCUUUGCCAA